rnacentral:tRNA from 1 species
GCCUGGGUGGCUCAGUCGGUUGAGCAUCUGACUUGGGCUCAGGUCAUGAUGUCAGGGUCCUGGGAUUGAGCCCCUGCCUCAGGCU